GCCGGGCGUGAUGGCAUACGCCUGUAAUCCCAGCUACUUGGGAGGCUGAGGCAGAAGAAUCGCUUGAACCCGGGAGGCCAAGGUUGCAGUGAGCCGAGGUUGCGCCACUGCACUCCAGCCUGGGUGACAGAGCGAGACUCCAUCUCAA
ensembl:misc_RNA Metazoa_SRP Metazoan signal recognition particle RNA